rnacentral:lncRNA from 1 species
CGCAGCGAUAACGUACCUGUCAAUCUCAUUUCCCAGAAAAGUAGUCCCUCUCACAUGCAACUACUUGCUUCUGUUGUCAAAUGUAUUCAUUUAUUUAGCCACCUUUUAAAAUAUUUUUUGUUCACAAAAUAACCCUUCUAUAUUCUUAUUGCCCAAAAAUGAACAGAAUAUUUACAUUAAACAGUAAAGUCCUAAGCAAGAUGGCUGCAUUACUGCGCGAAAUAGUGGCAUCCUGGUAAAAUGACGCAAACCAUAGUUUACGUUCAGUGAAGUGGUAAUACGGUUUCCAUCCACACGCUGUAGCGCCAGCUCCCGCCUGACUGUCUGCGUAAAGCUCGGCGAAUCUCAAGUGGACCGAGAGGAAUUGGUUCAGUAAAUUCUCCCAAACAGAGGAGCUGUUAUUUGUACAUCGUCCCCCACAGCCACUUCUUCUCGUGCCCACUACAAUGGAGAGAGAAUGAGAAGAGGUGCUCCAAGCAGAACAUGAAAAUGGAGAUGUGCACAAAGAACAAUAACACCACACUCAGAAGAGGUGAGAGUGCGAUGAGGAGAGGAGCCAGAGAGUGAGGCGAUGGGCUGCACCUCUGCUAAGCAGGUGUCGGCCGUGCCCAGCGAUGAGGAGGGCCGGGGCAAGGCCUACAGCAACGGAGACCUCUUCACCGACGAGUACAAGAUGAAGGGAGUGGAGGAGGUGAAGUACAUGCGUGGAGAGGAGGACCGGGUGAACGCACGCAACCAGGAGAACCUGGUGAGAGAGGAGCGACCACACACACACACACACACACACGUAGUCUGACUGUUCAUCAACACACAGAAAACACACCGUCCUCUUUGACAUUCAAUCAACACAUGCAAACAGACAGCGUUUGUGCUAAAUGCACCCAUCCACAGAAGCCCCCCCCACCCAACACACACAGCCACGGUGCCUCCCGAGCAGGUAGAGACAACAUGUAGGCCUGUAUGGAAUGUGGGAGUUUCACUAAAGGCUGUUUUAACCCCUUCCUUCAUGGCCUAUAUUUUGUGAGCAAUAGCUACGAUUUAUUCUUUCCUACAAACAAUAAAAUAACCCGGGGAAAAAGUGCACACCCUUUUGGAUGAGGUAACGAUUGAAGGAAAGGAAUCAAAAGUCGAGAGGAAUGAAAGUCCUACCCAACUAUUGAUUGAUUUGUCAUUUCAGUGUCUCUCUAUUCCACCAUUGUUGUGAAUGUGCUGCCGUCGUCAUAGUCACAUUAGUUUCAACAUAUGCGACAGCUGGCUUAAAACAUGCAGCAGAACAAAUGUCAUUUUCAGAAGUGACUUUUACUCUUUUUAGAAAGCUUAACGGGAACUACUCACAGGGGACUGUUUCUCACAGACGCACAUUUUAAUCCUGCCGAGUCAAAGUGCACACACACCAACAAAUAGAUUUAUAUCCAUGAAAUGCCUGUAGUGAGCAUCCGCAGUAGCAGAGUGAUCUGACGGCUGUGGAGAAGGCAGCUCCUAGUUUAAAACAUGCUAGACCCUUGGCAUGCCGUGCUCCUCCAACGCACAGCCAGCACCUCUAAUGAUCCAGGCCUGUGAGGAGGUUUUUCCCCUGGUCAGUCCCUUUUAGCAUCCCAGCCAGCGUCUGGGUCCAGGCAAGAGCAGGGCAAACCAGGCUCUCAUGCAUGAGGCCUACAUCUACAUGGCAGCCUGUCUCUUCCCAGCACCAAGGCUCCAGCAGCAGGGGUAGGCAGCCUGUCUCUUCCCAGCACCAAGGCUCCUGCAGCAGGGGUAGGCAGCCUGUCUCUUCCCAGCACCAAGGCUCCAGCAGCAGGGGUAGGCAGCCUGUCUCUUCCCAGCACCAAGGCUCCAGCAGCAGGGGUAGGCAGCCUGUCUCUUCCCAGCACCAAGGCUCCAGCAGCAGGGGUAGGCAGCCUGUCUCUUCCCAGCACCAAGGCUCCAGCAGCAGGGGUAGGCAGCCUGUCUCUUCCCAGCACCAAGACUCCAGCAGCAGGGGUAGGCAGCCUGUCUCUUCCCAGCACCAAGACUCCAGCAGCAGGGGUAGGCAGCCUGUCUCUUCCCAGCACCAAGGCUCCAGCAGCAGGGGUAGGCAGCCUGUCUCUUCCCAGCACCAAGGCUCCAGCAGCAGGGGUAGGCAGCCUGUCUCUUCCCAGCCUUAGGGCCACAGCUGGGCCUGGUAACUCUUACCUCCCGCCACAGACCUGUCAGUCCCCUUAACCAUAAGGACACACAACACAGCAGGGGACGGAUGUUUCCAACCUUAGGGCCCUGGCUGGUAGGGCAGGGAGAUGUUCUCCCCCCAGGCCUGCUACAUGGGCAGAUUGGGGUUCGGGGGGCUCUGUGUAUAGUGUCGGGGGUCAGAACUAUGAGCUGAUCUGUGUGUUUCAGGAGAAGACCUCUUUACAGUACAGGGGGAAACCGCACAAAGAAGGCUCUGGAGCCAACGCCAACAGGACAAAGUGAGUAAUAAUGAAAUGUGGUAUUGAUGUUACCAGCUAGUCAUUGGUGUUACUUAACAAUCACUGCUGCGCUUUUUAUAUGUAUUCAUAAAUGGUAUCAGGCAGUGUGACUAAAUCAGUGUGUUAUCGCUGUAGUGGAGCUGGGAGCUGAGUGGCUAGUGUCUUUUGUUUCCAGACAUGUAUUGUGGCUCUGUUUCUGUUUGGUGACAUUGUGAGUGGAUUAGCAUGGGUGCUGGAGCUGUAUUUAGUUUGCAUUUGGAUUAUAGACCUUUGUUGGGAGUACUCCAUAAAAUGAUUAUUCAAAUUCCUCCACAACCACGAAGGCUCUUGCCGAAGCUGGGGUUUAGAACUGUGUGUGUGUGUCCUGUGUGGGGGGUGUAAUGGAAAAUUCUAGUGGUGUGUUUGUUGCCUCCCGUUUCCUCCCCCUCUAACUUCCUCCUUCCUUUUCUUUCUCCCUCCCUCGUUCUCACUUUCUCUCCCUCCCUCCCUCGUUCUCACUCUCUCCCUUUCUUUCACAGUAUCCACACAUCAGAGAGCCAGCAGGAGUUCUUCAGGAUGUUGGAUGAGAAGAUUGAGAAGGUGAGGGGGGGUAGAGCGGGAGGGACCAGCCAGCAGGACCUGAACAUUUUAAAGAGACAGUCUCCUGUGAGAUUGGGGGCUGCUAAAAGCCAACUCUGACAGGAAGGAAAUACUUCAAAUUGAGAUACAUUCAGAUUAGGACUUUAAAAGACUACUUUAGUCCUAUCAACUCACCCUUGUCUUAUCUAACGUCUCCAUUUAUCCUACGGCGAUGCUAUCUGUCCUGCCUCAUCACUCUCUUCUGUCUCAUCUGUGGUGUGCCCACAGGGACUGGACUACUGUUCAGAGGAAGAAGAGGCAGAGGAUGGGACAUAGCAAACAAGGCCUGACUCAACCCCCUACAGAGAGCCUCCCAGAGUGUGUGCGAGUGCAUGUUCGUCUGAAUCAGUGUGUGUAUGUUCCACUGCCUUUGUAUGUGAUUCUGUAUGUGUCUGUGUGAGCAUGUAGGUUUUUGGUGUGUGAAAGAGCGAUGGAUAGCUAUUCUCAAAGACUGUUGCCCCCCUCUUGGCUGUCGUCCCAUUGGGCCCCUGAGUGGAUUACUGGAGGGAGAGACGAACGAGGAGACAUACAGACAGACAUGUGGACUCACUACCCUGCAGGACUAUGGAGAGAUGCACAUGGAGACAGACAAACGGACAUGUGGACUCACUGCCCUGCAGGACUAUGGAGAGACCCUCCCCUCUAUCCCAACUACCACCCCAGUGAACUGUACUGUGGUCCCUGGUCCAGCUUUGUGUAUACCACCCCCUCAUCACUACAACAUGGAGAAGGAGGACGGACAGAGGAAGAAUGAGCCUUACGGCAGUCUGGGAGACACCCUCCUGGCUUCCACCCUCCAUGGCCCUGACUACUGUGCUUUGCCUGUGAGGAGCAGAGAUGUGGAUAGAGAAAGAGGGGUGCUGGGGAGGGGGUGGUACUUCCAUAACCCCCAUCACAGAGGCUCGCUGCUGCAGUGGGCCAGAGAGGAUCCGAGAGAGGGAAGGGGUAGGGGGAGGGAGGGAGGGAGGGAAAGAAAAAUCUAGAUAUUUUAAUAAGAGAAAGAAGAGUCAGUGAGUGGCUUAUUUUGAAAUUCUGAACUCCUGCCUUUUUGAAGGACUUUUUUAUUAUGUUGAUCCAGUUCAUUAUUUUUGGUUUAUUUUAAUGUUUUUUUUUUUAAAUUAUUAUUAUUUGGCUUCUAUCAUAGUGCAUCACCUCCUGCAGGCUACAGCUCUAUAGGUCAGAGUUCCUGUGUCACUACACCUGUCCUCUUAAAUAUACCCUCAACGCUAAUAUACCAGACCCUGGCUAUGUGAAACACACUCCACUUCAUAUUCAUAGAUGCAGACACAGAAGUGCACACUCAUACUUUCAGAUACACACAGACAAAUGCAGAUAGACUCAUACACACACAUAUGCCAUUGUAUUCCUGUCGUUCUUUAGCCGCGUGUUAUGUAAGUAUGUUAAUAGGCUGUGAUGUUGAGGGUUUUGGGUGAAUGUUGGAACCAGCAGCUGUGGGUUUCUGCUGCUGGACUUCUUCAUGUUCACUUGUUGUGUUUAUUACUCUUUCCUCUGCAUUGGUAGCCCAGCCUCCACUUCUCUUCAACUCAGCAGUAUUGAUGCUUACUGGCAGCGUGGAGUCACCCUCUGUUGACACACACACACCCACACACCGCCUUUUCAUGGAAGUGAGAAGUGAGAUUUAAAGGAAAAGAGGUGUGGUUGCCUGGGAGACAAAGCCCUGAACGUUCUUCUGUCAUCAUUACUGGAUCGUUCCUUUUUCAUUUGAUUUUCAGUACUUUUUGUUUUUCUAUUAAAAAUAAAAACACAGGAGCUGUUCAUCUGCUGUGUGUAUCUAUCAGUGGUGGAAAAAGUACCCAAUUGUCAUACUUGAGUAAAAGUAAAGAUACCUUAAUAGAAAAUGACUCAAGUCAAAGUCACCCAGUAAAUUACUACUUGAGUAAAAGUCUAAAAGUAUUCGGUUUGAAAUAUACUUAAGUAUCAAAAGUAAAAGUAUGAAUAAUUAAAAAAUUACAAUUAUUAAGCAACCCAGACUGCACAGUUUUUUAUUUACAGAUAGCUAGGGGCACACUCCCAACAGUCAGACAUCAUUUACAAACGAUGCAUUUGUUUAGUGAGUCCGCCAGAUCAGAGGCAGUAGGGAUGACCAGGGAGGUUCUGUUGACAAGUGUGAAUUUUACAAUUUUCUGUCCUGCUAAGCAUCCCAAAUGUAAGAAAUACUUUUGGGUGUCAGGGGAAAAUGUAAGGAGUAAAAAGUACAUUAUUUCCUUCAGGAAUGUAGUGAAGUAAAUGUUGUCAAAAAUAUAAAUCGUAAAGUACCGAUACCCCAAAAACCUACUUAGGUAGUACUUUAAAGUAUUUUUACUUAAGUACUUUACACCACUGGUGUCUAUCUGUGUGACUCAGAGGUGGUAUGUGGUUAACAGUUAGAAUAAGGAAAGUCGUUUCAUGCUGACAUCACUGUUGGAUUGAAGAGUCAGUAGAUUUUCCUCUGGUACUGUUCCCAAAGCCAUGUUGCAGUUUACACAAGUGGAGUGUAGACACGUUCUGGUCAAGACUGAUGCUUUGUGCCAUCUGGUGGUUGAAUAUCAGAAUUACACCUGAGGCGUCAUGAAUUACAAAGCCUAUUCAAUAGGGCUGGGGGACCUCACGAUACGAUAUUAUCACAGAUACUUAGUUGCCGAUACGAUAUGUAUUGGGAUUCUCAUGAUUCUAUAUGUAUUGUGAUUUGAUAC